rnacentral:rRNA from 1 species
CGCGGUAAGACAGAGGUGCCGAGCGUUAGGCGGAAUCACUGGGCUUAAAGCGUGUGUAGGCGGACCCAUAAGUACCUUGUGAAAUCCCACGGCUCAACCGUGGAACUGCUGGGUAUACUGCGGGUCUUGAGCGGCCUAGGGGCAGACGGAACAAGUGGUGGAGCGGUGAAAUGCGUAGAUAUCACUUGGAACGCCGACGGUGAAAACAGUCUGCUGGGGGCCUGCUGACGCUGAGACACGAAAGCCAGGGGAGCGAACGGGAUUAGAUACCCCNGUAGUCCUGGCCCUAAANUGANGUCGANUAGGUCGUGGUGGCUCUGACGCCAUCGCGGCCGAAGCAAAAGUGCUAAGUCGACCGCCUGGGAAGUACGGUCGCAAGGCUAAAACUCAAAGGAAUUGACGAAUCGAAUU